GACGAACGCUGGCGGCGUGCUUAACACAUGCAAGUCGAACGGAAAGGCCCUGCUUUUGUGGGGUGCUCGAGUGGCGAACGGGUGAGUAACACGUGAGUAACCUGCCCUUGACUUUGGGAUAACUUCAGGAAACUGGGGCUACUACCGGAUAGGAGCUCCUGCUGCAUGGUGGGGGCUGGAAAGUUUCGGCGGCUGGGGAUGGACUCGCGGCUUAUCAGCUUGUUGGUGGGGUAGUGGCUUACCAAGGCUUUGACGGGUAGCCGGCCUGAGAGGGUGACCGGCCACAUUGGGACUGAGAUACGGCCCAGACUCCUACGGGAGGCAGCAGUGGGGAAUAUUGCACAAUGGGCGGAAGCCUGAUGCAGCAACGCCGCGUGCGGGAUGACGGCCUUCGGGUUGUAAACCGCUUUCGCCUGUGACGAAGCGUGAGUGACGGUAAUGGGUAAAGAAGCACCGGCUAACUACGUG
rnacentral:rRNA from 1 species